rnacentral:tRNA from 1 species
UCCAGGGUAGCCUAGUGGACAUGGCAUCUGCCCGGUAAGCGGAAGGUUGUGGGUUCGAUUCCCGCCCCUGAAC